GAUGAACGCUAGCGACAGGCCUAACACAUGCAAGUCGAGGGGUAGCACAAGGUAGCAAUACUGAGGUGACGACCGGCGCACGGGUGAGUAACGCGUAUGCAAUCUGCCUAUAAGAGUGGGAUAGCCUCUUGAAAGAGAGAUUAAUACCGCAUAGUACUUAGAGACUGCAUGGUCUUUAAGUUAAAGAUUUAUCGCUUAUAGAUGGGCAUGCGUGACAUUAGCUAGUUGGUGAGGUAACGGCUCACCAAGGCGACGAUGUCUAGGGGUUCUGAGAGGAAGGUCCCCCAAACUGGUACUGAGACACGGACCAGACUCCUACGGGAGCAGCAGUGAGGAAUAUUGGUCAAUGGACGAGAGUCUGAACCGGCCAAGUCGCGUGAAGGAUGAAGGUUCUAUGGAUUGUAAACUUCUUUAAAUGGGAAUAAAAAGCGUUAUGUGUAGCAUAUUGCAUGUACCAUAUGAAUAAGGGA
rnacentral:rRNA from 1 species